rnacentral:sRNA from 1 species
CAAGGAGAAGAAAAAAA